AUAUCUUAAUUUUGAACAGUAUAAUUUUUAUAAUUUAAGAAAUAUGAAUGAAUGUUAAUGAUUAAAUUAAAACUUAAGUUGACUUCAGGAAUAGCAAACAAGAUAAAUUAUGUUUAUAUUAUUGUAUAGUAUAACUUCGUAUUAAUUAAAUUGUAGGAUAAAAUUCAGCAUUUUGAGAAUUUGAAAGACUUGAUAGCUUAAGAUAAAAUAUACAUUAGAAAAUAUUAAUGUAAAAAAAAAUAGCAAAGCCCAAAUGUAUGAGAAAAGUUUUAAAAAAAUUCAAAUGCAUCAAGUAAACAAACAAAUUAAACUUUACAAUUAAAUAAUUUAUAGAUUUUGUCUUUCAGACAUUAUAUAUACUUGGAGAAACACAGUGUAUAUAUACAUAUAUAAGCAUAUUAAAUAAGUUAGUUGUAUAUAGAUGUUUAUGUAUAUAUACACCAUACUGGGUAAAGUUAUAUCUGGCUUGAGUGCCACAGUGGAUGAUUAUAUAGGCCAUGGGUGUAUGAAUCAUUCUCAGUCAGCGUCGUGAUUAAUCUUGGAUGGUUAUAUCAAGAAUUAAAUAUGUCCUGAAGCAAAAAAUCAGUUAUGUUCAAUGGUCUGAGUGUAACUGGCAAUGCAUCUGCAUGGUAGGCGGGAGCGGAAGGUUUGAGUCCCACUCCAGGCCAAUUCUUUUUUGCAGAAUAUUUUAAAUUAUUUAAUAAAAUAUUAAUUUAUUAUUAUUAUUAAAUUUAAUAAGAGAUGGUGCCUAAUGCCUACCUCUAAUACCAAAUUAUUUAAAAUUAUAAUUAUUAAUAGUAGCAGAAAAAUAGCCUGAUACAUUAUGGCAAUCAUUUGGCUCUGAGGAACACUAAGUGAAUUGUACAAAAAUUAAGCAUGUUCCAUCAAAGUUGUCUAUGCAUAAUUCCUAAAAUCAUCUACUACUAUAACUAUGUCACAAACAAUAAAGUUGUAAUCUUCUUGAUCUGCUUCUAUUUAUAAGACAUCAUAACAGACUGUAGGAUACGUUGGGUAUCAACUACUAUAUUUACCAAGUCGACAGACAUUCUAACAUCAAAUUAACUCCUGACAUGUUGGGGGAAAGAAAGGAUGUAGGCUGAGCAAAGUUUGGCACAAUAUAUCCACAGAUGACUUCUGAACUCUGAAAUGUUUAAUAUUAAGCAAGAUGGAAAUUCUGUCAUGAAAGAUAGCUGGAAAUGAAGUCUUGCUGCCCAGUGUACCAGUUGCAUAUUUGGAGAUAGCUACUAUUAUUAAAGUAGAACAAAAUGUUUAUAUGAGAAAUUAAGUUCAAAAUCUAAAAAAAUGCUUCAGAGGACGAAAACAAAUUAUACUUUUGAAAAUCUUAAAGUUUAUCAAACAUUUUUUUAUAAUAAUAAGUACUGUACAUUCCUGAACAAAGAAAUAAACAUUCUUGGAAUAGACAUUUACUCCAAAUUUGUAAAAUUAUUUGAUGACUAUUGCUUGCUUGGAUAUGUUUACCCAACAAAAAUCAAAUUUAUCGCUAACUCCAAUUAGAUUAUUGUGAUGUAUCAAAAUUAUAUGAUUACUUAGACAACUAAGUAAUUAGCUGAUUAACUGUUUAUAUUUUAUUGUGUAAUAUAAUUUAUGAAUUUCAUUACAUUCGUUCAUUGAUUUAAUAAAGCCAAGAAAAUAUUAAUAUCUAUGAUUUUAUAAUAGAAAAUUUACUUUUCCAUAUGAUUUUUAAUUGAUAUUUUAUAUUAUUGUUAGUAUCGUGCUUUACUGCAACCGUAUCACAAACAAUAAAGUUGCAAAUAGAUGCAGAUCAAAAAUAUCACAAGAUAUUGUCAAGUUGGUACCAAGCUUCAUUUUUCAGUUAAGCUCUGUAUUAACUUAAUUGCGAUUUUUGAAAGCUUUAAAUAAUUUUACACUUAUAACAACAAGAACAAAGCUUAAUAAUAAUAAUGAUAAUAAAGUGUAAAUAAUCAAGUCUUUUAAUACCCUAUCAUCUUUGAUGCCAUAAAAAGUUUAAUGUUGAAAAUUCCUUUUAAAAGAACAGAAGAUAUACUUUAUAUUUUGCAUAUUUUCUUUUUUGGUGUAAAAAUCAUCACCGAUUUAUUAAAUAAUUGGUGAAAUAUUAAUUAUAAAAUUUCUGAGUCAGUUAUUCUAUGUUUUAGCUUUCAUAAAAAAAUCUGUUAUUGGCUUAAAACAGAAAAUAACUAGUUUUUUAAAGUAUUUCAAAGACCACUAUCUGUUUCAUCUAUAAAAAUAACAGAAAUUUUGUCAUUUUUGGCAUAGUUAUAAUUAUAUAUGAACAUCAACUCUCAAACUGUUAGAUUAAAGCCAAACAAACUGCUGUUUCGAUUAUAAUUCAGUUCAUCUCCAAAAAUUGGUUGAAAUUAACCAGUUUUAAAAUAAUACUUUUCAUUUGUAUCAGUUACAUGUUCAUCAUCUCAUAUUAUUUUUUAUAUACUUUUAUCCUCAACUUUUUAUUAUAACUUUUUUCCAUUAGUCUUAAUGUUUCAUUAUCAUAUACAGAAUUUACUAUUAUUAACUUUUGGAUGUGUCAUUUGCAACUGUUAUAUGACAAAUUGAGAAAAAUCUUUUCUGUUUUAUGUCGGAUUUUAAUUUUUGAUUAUAGCAUCCAUUAACUGAAGCAUAGCAAUAUGACAUCAAUUUUGCAAAGUUUUAUGAACAAGUCAAAAAUUUUCUUUCAGUAUGGAUACGCUCAGGUUUGCAUGCGGUUGGCCCAUCUUUUGACCGAGAACACAAAUAUUUGUAUACAAUAACAUCAAAAUAUUGUUAGAAGAGUAUACUGGAAUGUGAAUUGCUUGUUUAAAUAAUUUUCUUGACAAUUUUCCAAGUAAAAGAACUGUAUUUAAAUAGUCCAGGGUUAACUAGAUUUGUCAAGGAUAAGUAUAUAAUUGCCCUUUACAAUUUUGAUACAAUAUUACAUCUGUUUUUAAAUAAUUGAAUUAUAAUAAGUGUGUGUUAUUACAAAUGGUUUAUAUGUGUAUGUAUUUUUUUAAUCAAAUAAUAACACAAAUUUGCUAUCUAUAUAUAUUCCAAAAUAUGAAAAAUGCUUGAUUUCUUUAAAUUGUUUACUUAACAUCAAAAUCUGAGGUUUUCUUUUGUUUGUGUUGUAUGCCUUGUGGUGUAUGCCUUGUCUAACUCAGACAAGGCAUACACCACAAAUAUUACUUUAUUUUAAAUUGAGUAUUCAUUUGAGAUAGACAUGUAGAAAAGUUUAAAAAUUGGUAUGGUAAGACAUUCUUUUGAUUGCAUAAUUUAGUUACUCCAGCUCAAAAAAUGUAGAUAUAAUUUUCUCUCAUUUCAGUAAGAUUGGCUUUUCAAUCAGUGAUUUGUAUAAAUCUGAUAUCAUUUUUAAGCUUCCAUUAACAGGAAGCAUUUUUAAGCUUCCAUUAAUUGUUCAGUGGUUAAUCAGUAAGAAGUUUACUGCAUUUUUUAAUUAAAGGCUUAGUUGCAAACAAAACUGUUCAAAUUCUGAAGGUAUUUUUAUAUUUUAAGUACUCCAUGCUGUACAGUGCAAAAGUAUUUAGUACAGUAUAUGAAGACAUCAGUAUUGAGAUUUUGGUUGAAAAAUGUUUUGAAAUGUAAUAAUAAUAAUUUGAUUAUAAGUUUAUGCACAACUUAUAAAUUCAUAAAUUAUAUUUACCAUAAAUCUUGCAAUGUUAUAUUUGAAUCUUAUUCUGGAUAAUGUUAUGUAAAGACAAAUUUAGAUUUUGUUUAGUGUCUUCAUUGAAUCUAUCCAAUUGCAUAAAUGAAAUAAUCAUAAUUAAAAAUUAAGGUUUCUAGUCAUAUUUAAGCUGCUAUUUAAAGCACAUACAAGUGGGAAAUUAACAAAUACUAUUGUUGUAGAACUGUUGAAAUUAAGAAUGGGAAAAAUUUCUAAAAUAAAUAUUUUUAUUUUUGGUAUAAUCCCAGAUUUAUCAGAACAGCCCAAAUUAGCAAUUUUUUUUAUUAAUGCUCUAACUUUUACUAAUAUUCAACCAUGAAGUUAUAUGGCAGAUCAUUGUUAUGUAACUUUACAAUUAAGUAGGUACAUACAGAGUGUCUGAGAAGUUACUGUGUUGUGAGAAAUUUGUAACGACAUUAAAGUUACAGGUCUCGUAUGCAAUAAGUGCCUAUAAGUUGUAUGCAAUACCAAACCUGUAACUUUAACAUCAUUACAAAUUUCUCACUGUACAGUAAUUUCUCAGAUAUUGUAUACAAUAAUAAUAAUAAUAGUAAUAUUUUUGUUGAUAACUAACUUCGUUAUAAUGUGUUUAAAAAUUGUGAUAAACUUAAAAAAUGAAUUAAGCGUUAAAGAGACAGUUUACACAUGUUUCUAAUUUAUUUGGUUUCUAAAAUUUACUUAUCUGAAUAUUAAAAACUGGUAUAUACAGGUAGCAUGAAUAUAUAAAGUUGUAUUAUGUGGAUAAAAUUGUUUUGUAAUUCAGCCAUGGUGGUCGUUGUACUGACAAGAGGAUUAUAAUUGAAUUUAAAGGAUAAACAUUUUUGUGUACUUACGCUUUGAAGAUGAUUGCUUAGUUUACGGUUAUAAUUGAUUAUGAUUGUUUUACUAUUAAUCAUAUAUUUGAUUUGCCAUUAUGUUAUGAUAUUCCAGUAUUAGUAAUUUAGUAGUUUGGUUAUCUGAUAAAUUUAAUAGCACGAAUUAAUGAAAUCAAUUGGAUGCUAAUUGGAAAACUGCAGUUUGGAGUACAAAUGCAGUUUGGCAUGGAUCAUUCAAAUGGAAUCUUUAUUUUCCUAUUCAUAAUUUAUUGUUAUUUUUUUUUAAAUCUAUAUUAAUUCUUAGAUUAUAUUGAAAAAUAACAGUUGGACUGCCAUGUAAAAAAAAAAUAACAGAUGUUAAUUUUCAGUCCCGUCUUAUUGGGCAUCCAAUGUACAAUUAGAAAUUAAGACAAUGUUCUGUAGUUGGUAUUAUUGGUUGCCUAAUAGACUUAAAAUCAAAUUUGUUUUUUUUUUUAACUUAAUGUUUGAAUAGAAAUUAUUAAGGUGUGAAAAUUUCAGCCACAAUUAAAGAAAAUCAAUUUCUCCACCAUGGCUGUCCUUCAUUUUUACAUUACUAAUUACUUAGUGAUGACUAAAAAAAAUAUCACUGUGACAAAGCUCAGUCUAUUUAUUUUUUUUUUCUAGCAUAAAUUUUUUUGUUUUGGUUACUGCCGCCAAUGAAACGGAUCAUGUACCUAAGGUUAACUGUGUUUUUGAAGAAAAUUUACAUUUAUUUGUUGAAAACUAUGACUGGCGUUGGGCAGCAUUUUGUUCCAGAAAAUGAUUUUCUUUAUUAUCCACUGGAAAAUGAGUUGUCGUGUCCAGCAGAGACGAAGGAAAAGCCCUUCUCUGGGACUCCACAGUCUUUGUUGGAUGUCGGUAUUCUGUAUUAUUGUUGCACAUCUGUCAAAGACAGAAAUAUUGAUAGAUUAAAUUUACAUGCCAUUCCAAUGAAAAUUUCACUCCAUGUAUGGUAAUUCGAGGUUGAUUUGAUUGGUUUUAGUGACCCCGCCACAUUGGAAGCAAGCUCAGAAUCAAAGGCGAGUCCCCUACAGAUUGACGGUAAUUAUGGACCAAUAAACAUUUUUCUAAAACUGUCGCCAGAAUUUUGUGAAAAAAGAUCCCUGGAGAAGGGCUUUUCUUUGUCGUAAUGCAAAAAAGAAUCAUCAAUGAUUGCCAGUCAGCAAGCAGUAGCUGCAGCCGUUGGCACAAUCCAUCCUUACGUGCCAAAACAGUUUGAUGUGCAACCUUCUAAGAGGAAUUCUUUAUUGGAGUGAAACGUGCCAUCGACUUGUGCUCAUCAUGCACCGUAGUUUCUUGCAUGUGUUUGUAUCAGAAAAUUAUAUUGAAGUAAAUGAUGCACCGCAGCUUAAUUGUUCAAGUUAAUCAUCGAAAGAAUUUGAUGAAUCCUUCCACCAUUGAUCUUAGGACCAGUGCAAUUUGGAAUAUUUAAUGCAUUAACAGACAGUUUCUUGCUGGCAAGUUCUAUUGAUGUCUUGUGAAUCCUACAUAAACAAACUGCUGGAAUCAGUUGUUUGCUUCGGCUAGAAUGGUUUUAGUGAUUAACCAAAAACAAGAACAUUUAGAUGUGAGUUUUCAUUUCCAUGGUGAGACAUUCACUUGUUGAGAAGUGAUCAUGUGCAGAGAUGAUAAUGUUUUUUAAUCUGCACGUCCAGAUGAAAAAUUUGAUGACAAUAUAUAUAUACGGUAUAUAUAUAUAUAUGUAUCUAGCAUGCACUUUAA